rnacentral:rRNA from 1 species
CCUACGGGAGUCAGCAGUGAGGAAUAUUGGUCAAUGGGCGCGAGCCUGAACCAGCCAAGUAGCGUGAAUGAUGACUGCCCUACGGGUUGUAAACUUCUUUUAUAAAGGAAUAAAGUGAGGCACGUGUGCCUUUUUGUAUGUACUUUAUGAAUAAGGAUCGGCUAACUCCGUGCCAGCAGCCGCGGUAAUACGGAGGAUCCGAGCGUUAUCCGGAUUUAUUGGGUUUAAAGGGAGCGUAGAUGGGUUGUUAAGUCAGUUGUGAAAGUUUGCGGCGCAACCGUAAAAUUGCAAUUGAUACUGGCAGCCUUGAGUACAGUUGAGGUAGGCGGAAUUCGUGGUGUAGCGGUGAAAUGCUUAGAUAUCACGAAGAACUCCGAUUGCGAAGGCAGCCUACUAAACUGCCACUGACAUUGAUGCUCGAAAGUGUGGGGAUCAAACAGGAUUAGAUACCCUUGUAGUC